rnacentral:lncRNA from 1 species
UUUUGGGGCCGUGUUUACCGACUCUUCUCCUCUGCCUCUGCCCUGCUCAGCCGGGGCUUUGAGCCUCUUUGGUUUCCCAGCCAGACCCGGAAAAAUGAAAACACAGCUUGGGGAGCCCCCACCAGCCGGCGCCUGUGCCAGCUCACCUCUGGCCAUGGUGGCAGCUGCCGGUGCACAAGGCGGCCAAAGCCAGCUCCACAAUCUUCCCUCCCCCUCCCACUUUACCAGGAGCUCCGAACCCUGCGUGCAGAGGAAGGGCCUCAGCUCCACAGACGACUAGGUCCCUCCUCACCGAAAAUGGUGAGACAAGAUUUCAUCUUGUCCGCUGAGGAGCCACAAGCAG